ensembl:snRNA U6 U6 spliceosomal RNA
GUGUUCACUUUAGCUACACAUACACAAAAAUUGGAGGAAUAUGUAUAUUAGCAUGGCCUCGGUGCAAAAAUAUGGCAUCCAAAUCUAAGAAGUGCUUCAUAUAUUU